rnacentral:rRNA from 1 species
ACUUAAGCAUAUCAAUAAGCGGAGGAAAAGAAACUAACAAGGAUUCCCCUAGUAACUGCGAGUGAAGCGGGAAAAGCUCAAAUUUAAAAUCUGGCGGUCUUUGGCCGUUCGAGUUGUAAUUUAGAGAAGCGUCUUCCGCGCUGGACCGUGCACAAGUCUCCUGGAACGGAGCGUCAUAGAGGGUGAGAAUCCCGUCUUUGGCACGGAACCCCGGUGCUUCUGUGAUGCGCUCUCGAAGAGUCGAGUUGUUUGGGAAUGCAGCUCAAAAUGGGUGGUGAACUCCAUCUAAAGCUAAAUAUUGGCGAGAGACCGAUAGCGAACAAGUACCGUGAGGGAAAGAUGAAAAGCACUUUGGAAAGAGAGUGAAACAGUACGUGAAAUUGUUGAAAGGGAAACGCUUGAAGUCAGUCGCGUCGAUCGAGACUCAGCCUUGCCUUGGCUUGGUGUACUUCUCGACCGACGGGCCAGCAUCAAUUUUGCCUCUCGGAUAAUGGCAAGGGAAAGGUGGCACCCUUACGGGUGUGUUAUAGUCUCCUGUCGCAUGCGAGGGGUGGGAUUGAGGAACUCAGCACGCACCUUUCAGGUGUCGGGGCUUCGGCCCACGUUACGUGCUUAGGAUGUUGGCGUAAUGGCUUUAAACGACCCGUCUUGAAACACGGACCAAGGAGUCUAACAUGCCCGCGAGUGUUCGGGUGGAAAACCCGUGCGCGAAAUGAAAGUGAAAGUUGGGACCUCUGUCGUGGAGGGCACCGACGCCCGGACCAGACCUUCUGUGACGGCUCUGCGGUAGAGCGUGCAUGUUGGGACCCGAAAGAUGGUGAACUAUGCCUGAAUAGGGUGAAGCCAGAGGAAACUCUGGUGGAGGCUCGUAGCGAUUCUGACGUGCAAAUCGAUCGUCAAAUUUGGGUAUAGGGGCGAAAGACUAAUCGAACCAUCUAGUAGCUGGUUCCUGC